rnacentral:rRNA from 1 species
CGAACGGGUGAGUAAUACAUCGGAACGUGUCCGCUCGUGUGGGACAACCAGCCGAAAGGUUGGCUAAUACCGCAUGAGUUCUACGGAAGAAAGAGGGGGACCCGCAAGGGCCUCUCGCGAGCGGAGCGGCCGAUGACUGAUUAGCCGGUUGGUGAGAUAACGGCUCACCAAAGCAACGAUCAGUAGCUGGUCUGAGAGGACGACCAGCCACACUGGGACUGAGACACGGCCCAGACUCCUACGGAAGGCAGCAG